rnacentral:rRNA from 1 species
GGGCACAAGUAGAGUGAUCGAAAGAUGAAAAGCACUUUGAAAAGAGGGUUAAAAAGUACGUGAAAUUGUUGAAAGGGAAGCGCCCAUGACCAGACUUGGGCCCGGUGAAUCACCCGGCGUUCUCGCCGGUGCACUUUGCCGGGCACAGGCCAGCAUCAGUUUGGCGCGGGGGACAAAGGCUUCGGGAACGUGGCUCCCUCGGGAGUGUUAUAGCCCGCUGCGCAAUACCCUGCGCCGGACUGAGGUACGCGCAUCGCAAGGAUGCUGGCGUAAUGGUCAUCAGCGACCCGUCUUGAAACACGGACCAAGGAGUCGUCUUCGUAUGCGAGUGUUCGGGUGUCAAACCCCUACGCGGAAUGAAAGUGAACGCAGGUGAGAGCUUCGGCGCAUCAUCGACCGAUCCUGAUGUUCUCGGAUGGAUUUGAGUAAGAGCAUACGGGGCCGGACCCGAAAGAAGGUGAACUAUGCCUGUAUAGGGUGAAGCCAGAGGAAACUCUGGUGGAAGCUCGCAGCGGUUCUGACGUGCGAAUCGAUCGUCAAAUAUGGGCAUGGGGGCGAAAGACUAAUCGAACCUUCUAGUAGCUGGUUUCCGCCGAAGUUUCCCUCAGGAUAGCAGUGUUGGUCUCAGUUUUAUGAGGUAAAGCGAAUGAUUAGGGACUCGGGGGCGCUAUAUUGCCUUCAUCCAUUCUCAAACUUUAAAUAUGUAAGAAGCCCUUGUUACUUGACUGAACGUGGGCCUUCGAAUGUAGCAACACUAGUGGGCCAUUUUUGGUAAGCAGAACUGGCGAUGCGGGAUGAACCGAACGCGAGGUUAAGGUGCCGGAGUGGACGCUCAUCAGACACCACAAAAGGUGUUAGUACAUCUUGACAGCAGGACGGUGGCCAUGGAAGUCGGAAUCCGCUAAGGACUGUGUAACAACUCACCUGCCGAAUGUACUAGCCCUGAAAAUGGAUGGCGCUCAAGCGUCCCACCCAUACCUCGCCCUCAGGGUAGGAACGAUGCCCUGAGGAGUAGGCGGACGUGGAGG